UGAAAAAUACCUGUUACCAUGCUUUCGAUUC
rnacentral:piRNA from 1 species